CGUGCAAAGGUAGCAUAAUCAUUUGUCUACUAAUUAUAGACCUGUAUGAAAGGCAAAAUGAGGGUCUAACUGUCUCUUAUAAUAAAUCAAUUAAACUGAUCUCCUAGUAAAAAAGCUAGAAUAACAACAUAAGACCAGAAGACCCUGUGAAGCUUAAAUCAAACUAUUAAACCAUAUAAUAACUAUUUUCGGUUGGGGCGACCUUGGAAAAAAAAAGAACUUCCAAGACCCAGCACAGCUGAUAAUUGAACCAAGUUACUCCAGGGAUAACAGCGCAAUCUUCUUCAAGAGUCCAUAUCAAAAAGAAGGUUUACGACCUCGAUGUUGGAUCAGGACAUCCUAAUGGUGCAGCCGCUAUUAAGGGUUCGUUUGUUCAACGAUUAACAGUCCUACGUGAUCUGA
rnacentral:rRNA from 1 species